rnacentral:rRNA from 1 species
GACGAACGCUGGCGGCAUGCCUAACACAUGCAAGUCGAACGGUAAGGCUUCCUUCGGGAAGUACACGAGUGGCGAACGGGUGAGUAACACGUGGGUAAACUACCCUUGACUGGGGGACAACAGAGCGAAACUUCGGCUAAUACCGCAUAACGUGCAUUGCCGCAAGGUGGUGUACCAAAGCUCCGGCGGUUAAGGAUGGGACCGCGGCAGAUUAGCUUGUUGGUGAGGUAACGGCUGCCAAGGCGACGAUCUGUAGCUGGUCUGAGAGGACGAUCAGCCACACUGGAACUGAGACACGGUCCAGACUCCUACGGGAGGCAGCAGUGGGGAAUCUUGCGCAAUGGGCGAAAGCCUGACGCAGCAAUGCCGCGUGAGGGAAGACGGCCUUAGGGUUGUAAACCUCUUUCAGCAGGGACGAACACAGACGGUACCUGCAGAAGAAGCCCCGGCUAACUACGUGCCAGCCGCCGCGGUAA